GUGUCAGCAGCCGCGGUAAGACGAGCCACCCAAACGUUAUUCGGAAUCACUGGGCUUAAAGCGUGCGUAGGCGGCCUGCAAAGUUGGGUGUGAAAUCCCUCGGCCUAACCGAGGAAUUGCGCCCAAAACUAGUGGGCUAGAGGGAGAUAGAGGUAAGCGGAACUGAUGGUGGAGCGGUGAAAUGUGUUGAUAUCAUCAGGAACACCGGUGGCGAAAGCGGCUUACUGGGUCUUUACUGACGCUGAGGCACGAAAGCCAGGGUAGCGAACGGGAUUAGAUACCCUAGUAGUCC
rnacentral:rRNA from 1 species